ensembl:lncRNA
GGGUAGCGAGCCACCGGAGAGAGUUCACAUGAAUAUUUUAGGCAUUUUUCAGAAGGAACCAUCUUGCUUUUACCAUUGGUGAGGACUAUUUCAAUUUCCAUUCACCUUGGGCAUCUGGGCAAGUGAUUAUCUGCAAAGUCAGGGAGGAUUUGACGAUGUUUGGAUAUGUUUUUGGUGAUCACUACAAAGGACAAGCUAACACCUUCAUUUGGAAUGUUAAGGUCUUACUGCUCUGAUGAUAGAAGCCAAAAAAGGCGCCAAGGUGACCAUUUUCCACCGUGGAGCUGUGCACGCUUUCUUUGGACCUCAUUGACUUAGAGGACAAGAAAUACGACUGCUGUGUCCUUUGACCAAGAGUGGAGCAAGCAGACCCGAGAAGGCAUGGUCCUGGGUUUGUGUGGAAUGCCUUACCCUGUCUUCUUUCAGUUCUGGGAAAGGAAACUGAUCUGUUUCUUUCUGAGACUGCAAACUGGCCCCAAAGGAGCUCAAUUAAUACUCCUUAUAGGAAUGAAUACAUAAAUGACCACACACAGAGAAAAAUGUGUUGUGAAAUAGUCUCACCAAUGGAGGAAAAGAAACAAAACUAUCUCACUUGUGGGUAGUAAAACCUAGUAUGAUGAUAAUUGGGUGUCAAAUACAAGCACUGGGAUCUGUGGCCAGUGACUUUUGAGGCUUAGGAAGUAAUACACAUUCCCUCAAAAGAAAAGUACAGAUCAUAUAGGAAGAAACAAAGAAGCCCCACAGCUAUUCUUCUGCUUUGAUAUAUUUAUACCUACCCAUCUCUGCUCAAAUAUAUAUGGCUUCCAUAAAUCUAAUAAACCCACUCACACAGGAAAUGAAGAAAAAAAUUGAAAAAGCAUUAUUAAUGCCUUUAUGAACCGAGAGAACUAUGAUAUAGCAGAAUAACAGCAAGCAACAAAUUAUACGUUAAAUAACCUUGUUAUUUCGAUUAAAUUCUGGCCCC